rnacentral:rRNA from 1 species
CCUACGGGUGGCAGCAGUAGGGAAUAUUGCUCAAUGGGGGAAACCCUGAAGCAGCAACGCCGCGUGGAGGAUGACGGUUUUCGGAUUUUAAACUCCUUUUGUUAGAGAAGAUAAUGACGGUAUCUAACGAAUAAGCACCGGCUAACUCCGUGCCAGCAGCCGCGGUAAUACGGAGGGUGCAAGCGUUACUCGGAAUCACUGGGCGUAAAGGGCGCGUAGGCGGGAUAGCAAGUCAGAUGUGAAAUCCUAUGGCUUAACCAUAGAACUGCAUUUGAAACUGUUAUUCUAGAGUAUGGGAGAGGUAGGUGGAAUUCUUGGUGUAGGGGUAAAAUCCGUAGAGAUCAAGAAGAAUACUCAUUGCGAAGGCAGUCUGCUAGAACAUAACUGACGCUGAUGCGCGAAAGCGUGGGGAGCAAACAGGAUUAGAUACCCUAGUAGUC